GGAAGGAUGCCCGAGAUUAGGGGUUACUUUGAUAGAGUAAAAACAGAGACACCAACCUCUUCCUUCCCA
rnacentral:tRNA from 1 species